rnacentral:rRNA from 1 species
AGAGUUUGAUCAUGGCUCAGAACGAACGCUGGCGGCGUGGAUAAGACAUGCAAGUCGGACGAGAUUUUCCGUUGUAGCAAUACAGUGGAAAGUCUAGUGGCGAACGGGUGCUUAACACGUGGGCAACCUGCCAGGAAGUGGGGGAUAGCUCGCCGAAAGGCGAAUUAAUACCGCAUGUGAUCAGAGAGGACAUCCUUUCGAAAUUAAAGGUGGCGCAAGCUACCGCUUCUUGUGGGGCCCGCGGCCUAUCAGCUAGUUGGUGAGGUAACGGCUCACCAAGGCGAUGACGGGUAGCUGGUCUGAGAGGACGACCAGCCACACUGGGACUGAGACACGGCCCAGACACCUACGGGUGGCAGCAGUCGAGAAUUUUUGACAAUGGGGGAAACCCUGAUCGAGCGACGCCGCGUGGAGGAUGAAGGUCUUCGGAUUGUAAACUCCUGUCAUUGGGGAACAAGGUGCAUACGUUAACUGCGUGUGCAUUGAUAGUACCCGAAGAGGAAGAGACGGCUAACUCUGUGCCAGCAGCCGCGGUAAUACAGAGGUCUCAAGCGUUGUUCGGAUUCAUUGGGCGUAAAGGGUGCGUAGGCGGCGCGGUAAGUCGGGUGUGAAAUCUCGGGGCUUAACUCCGAAACUGCAUUCGAUACUGCCGUGCUUGAGGACUGGAGAGGAGACUGGAAUUUACGGUGUAGCGGUGAAAUGCGUAGAUAUCGUAAGGAAGACCAGUGGCGAAGGCGGGUCUCUGGACAGUUCCUGACGCUGAGGCACGAAGGUCAGGGGAGCAAACGGGAUUAGAUACCCUAGUAGUCC